rnacentral:rRNA from 1 species
UACGCAGGGGGCUAGCGUUGCUCGGAAUCACUGGGCGUAAAGCGCACGUAGGCGGCUCUUUAAGUCAGGGGUGAAAUCCUGGAGCUCAACUCCAGAACUGCCUUUGAUACUGGGGAUCUCGAGUCCGGAAGAGGUGAGUGGAACUCCGAGUGUAGAGGUGAAAUUCGUAGAUAUUCGCAAGAACACCAGUGGCGAAGGCGGCUCACUGGCCCGAUACUGACGCUGAGGCACGAAAGCGUGGGGAGCAAACAGG